rnacentral:rRNA from 1 species
UACGAAGGGGACUAGCGUUGUUCGGAAUAACUGGGCGUAAAGCGCAUGUAGGCGGAUCUUUAAGUCAGAGGUGAAAUCCCAGGGCUCAACCCCGGCAUUGCCUUUGAUACUGGAGAUCUGGAGUCUGGGAGAGGUGAGUGGAAGUCCGAGUGUAGAGGUGAAAUUCGUAGAUAUUCGGAGGAACACCAGUGGCGAAGGCGGCUCACUGGCCCGAGACUGACGCUGAGAUGCGAAAGCGUGGGGAGCAAACAGG